AGGACGAACGCUGGCGGCGUGCUUAACACAUGCAAGUCGAGUGGAAAGGCCCUUCGGGGUACUCGAGCGGCGAACGGGUGAGUAACACGUGAGUAACCUGCCCCUAGCUCUGGGAUAGCUCCGGGAAACCGGGAUUAAAUACCAGAUACGACCACUUUAGACAUCUGUCGUGGUGGAAAGGAUUCCGGCUAGGGAUGGGCUCGCGGCCUAUCAGCUUGUUGGUGGGGUAACGGCCUACCAAGGCGACGACGGGUA
rnacentral:rRNA from 1 species